GGAGGUGGAUGGGUCCUGGUGGGCCCCGCGGUCUUCAAAACCGUAGUGGGGCGUGAAGAGCGUCCCGGGUGUGUUCGAUUCGCACGCGCCUCCGCCA
rnacentral:tRNA from 1 species